rnacentral:rRNA from 1 species
UUCCGGUUGAUCCUGCCGGAGGCUACCGCUAUUGGAGUUCGAUUAAGCCAUGCGAGUCGCGAGAAAUUAGAUUCUCGGCGUACCGCUCAGUAACACGUGGGUAACCUGCCCUAUGCUGGAUAAUAACCUCGGGAAACUGAGAAUAAUGAUCCAUAGUUCACUACGCCUGGAACGGUGAGUGGAUGAAAGCCCCGGCGGCAUAGGAUGGGCCUGCGGCGUAUCAGGUUGUAGGGGGUGUAACGUACCCUCUAGCCCUCUACGCGUACGGGUGUUGGGAGACAUAGCCCGGAGAUGGAUUCUGAGACACGAAUCCAGACCCUACGGGGUGCAGCAGGCGCGAAAACUUGGCAAUGCGAGAAAUCGUGACCAGGGAACUCCAAGUGCAUCGGGUAAGACCGGUGCUUUUCUUGACUCUAAAUAGGUCUUGGAAUAAGGGGUGGGUAAGGACGGUGCCAGCCGCCGCGGUAAUACCGGCGCCUCAAGUGGUAGUCGCUUUUAUUGGGCCUAAAACGUCCGUAGCCGGUCUGGUACAUUCGUGGGUAAAUCAACUCGCUCAACGAGUUGAAUUCUGCGAGGACGGCCAGACUUGGGACCGGGAGAGGUGUGGGGUACUCUCAGGGUAGGGGUAAAAUCCUGUCAUCCUGAGAGGACCACCUGUUGCGAAGGCUCCACACUAGAACGGAUCCGACGGUCGGGGACGAAGCCUAGGGGCACGAACCGGAUUAGAUACCCGGGUAGUCCUAGGUGUAAACGCUGUGGACUUGAUGUUGGGGACGCUCCGAGCGUUCUCAGUGUCGAAGCGAAGGUGAUAAGUCCACUGCCUGGGGAGUACGGUCGCAAGGCUGAAACUUAAAGGAAUUGGCGGGGGAGCACCGCAACCUGAGGAUUGUGCGGUUUAAUUGGAUCAACGCCGGA